AGCGUGGAGACAGGUGGUGCAUGGCUGUCGUCAGCUCGUGUCGUGAGAUGUUGGGUUAAGUCCCGCAACGAGCGCAACCCUCACCCCUUGUUGCCACCAGGUCAGGCUGGGCACUCUAGGGGAACUGCCCCGGUCAACGGGGAGGAAGGUGGGGAUGACGUCAAGUCAUCAUGCCCCUUACGUCCUGGGCUACACACGUGCUACAAUGGCCGGUACAAAGGGAUGCAAGACUGCGAGGUGGAGCUAAACCCAAAAAGCCGGCCUAAGUUCAGAUUGGAGUCUGCAACUCGACUCCAUGAAGGAGGAAUCGCUAGUGAUCGCGCAUCAGCACGGCGCGGUGAAUACGUUCCCGGGCCUUGUACACACCGCCCGUCACACCACGAAAGCCAGCUGUACUCGAAGUCGCUGAG
rnacentral:rRNA from 1 species